GAUGAACGCUAGCGGCAGGCUUAAUACAUGCAAGUCGUGGGGCAGCAGGUUUGUAGCAAUACAGAUGCUGGCGACCGGCAAACGGGUGCGGAACACGUACAGAACCUUCCUUUGAGCGGGGAAUAGCCCAGAGAAAUUUGGAUUAAUACCCCAUAGUAUAAUGAAGUGGCAUCACUUUAUUAUUAAAGAUUUAUCACUCGAAGAUGGCUGUGCGGCUGAUUAGGUAGUUGGCGGGGUAAAGGCCCACCAAGCCUGCGAUCAGUAACUGGUGUGAGAGCACGACCAGUCACACGGGCACUGAGACACGGGCCCGACUCCUACGGGAGGCAGCAGUAAGGAAUAUUGGUCAAUGGAGGCAACUCUGAACCAGCCAUGCCGCGUGGAGGAUGAAGGUCCUCUGGAUUGUAAACUUCUUUUAUAUGGGACGAAAAAAGGCUUUUCUAAGUCGUCUGACGGUACCAUAUGAAUAAGCACCGGCUAACUCCGUGCCACG
rnacentral:rRNA from 1 species